CCCCGCGUUCGAGGCUGCGCGCGCCAGAUCCGCGAGCUUUACCGGAGCAGAGCGCACGGAGAGACCAGUCAACCGCGUCACGGUACCGGAGCGGAGCGAGCGCGCCGAGAAUCCAGUCAGCCGCAGCGCAGGACAGAGAGCGUCACGGUACCGGAGCGAGCGGGCGCUAUCAGUGGUUUGACGCUCUGCUCAUCUGGACGCUGACGGAACAGAAGCAGAUCUUCUCUGGUGAGCAUCUGCUGCUUUAUUACUGUGAUCAUCUGAGUUCAUGUGAGGUUUCUCUGUUGU
rnacentral:lncRNA from 1 species